UACGUAGGGUGCGAGCGUUGUCCGGAAUUAUUGGGCGUAAAGAGCUUGUAGGCGGUUUGUCGCGUCUGCUGUGAAAUCUCAAGGCUCAACCUUGAGCUUGCAGUGGGUACGGGCAGACUAGAGUGUGGUAGGGGAGACUGGAAUCCCUGGUGUAGCGGUGAAAUGCGCAGAUAUCAGGAGGAACACCGAUGGCGAAGGCAGGUCUCUGGGCCACUACUGACGCUGAGAAGCGAAAGCAUGGGGAGCGAACAGG
rnacentral:rRNA from 1 species